rnacentral:rRNA from 1 species
UGGGGAAUAUUGGACAAUGGGCGAAAGCCUGAUCCAGCAAUGCCGCGUGAGUGAUGAAGGCCCUAGGGUUGUAAAGCUCUUUUACCCGGGAUGAUAAUGACAGUACCGGAGAA